rnacentral:lncRNA from 1 species
AGUUCUGGUGAAAUUACCUUAGUAGCCCACUAACCUUGGCUCCUCUCAAAGGUCGACAUAUCUCCCUUGAAAUAUCUUCCUGGAUUGAAGUCGUUUGAGUCGUCAUCUCCUACGGCAAUCUCUCCAAUGGAAAGAAACAACACCUUUUUCAAGAUUGUUCCAUCAAUUUUGAUAAUUUACCCUUGUAGCACACUCGAUCCAUCCUCCAAGUCGUAGUUUGCGAUAUAUUCCUCCACUAAUGACACAUUAAUUGAUGAUAAGUGAUCUGACAAAAGGCAAAAACUUGAACAAUUACACAUUCCAAAAGUCUUUUAUUCUUUAUGGCGUCCAAUAAAUCUCUAACUUCAUCGGCUCCAUAUUGGUAAUGAUUAUCACAGAAGAUGGUUUUGAUGCAUAUCUAACUCUCAUAUUUUGUCCACUGUCUUCUUUGUC